rnacentral:rRNA from 1 species
GAUGAACGCUGACAGCAUGCUUAACACAUGCAAGUCUACUUGAACUUCGGUUUGGGUGGCGGACGGGUGAGUAACGCGUAAAGAACUUGCCUCACAGUUAGGGACAACAUUUGGAAACGAAUGCUAAUACCUGAUAUUAUGAUUUUAGGGCAUCCUAGGAUUAUGAAAGCUAUAUGUGCUGUGAGAGAGCUUUGCGUCCCAUUAGCUAGUUGGAGAGGUAACGGCUCACGAAGGCGAUGAUGGGUAGCCGGCCUGAGAGGGUGAACGGCCACAAGGGGACUGAGACACGGCCCUUACUCCUACGGGAGGCAGCAGUGGGGAAUAUUGGACAAUGGACCAAGAGUCUGAUCCAGCAAUUCUGUGUGCACGAUGACGUUUUUCGGAAUGUAAAGUGCUUUCAGUUGAGAAGAAAAAAAUGACGGUACCAACAGAAGAAGUGACGGCUAAAUACGUG